UCUCUCUCUCUCUCUCUGCCCAUGCCCCACUUGUGUUCUUUGUGCCUUUCAAAAAUUAAUGUACCUAAAAGCAUUUUCAAUCCGAUAUUUCCUGGAUGGCUCUUUUCACUUUCAUUGCUGAAGAAGCAGGCGUCUGUCUCGUUCAUUGUUCUUUUGUUAUCUUUGGCAUAGCUGACAACAUAUACGACAUUUCCCCAGCCAGCAUCGGGGAUGCGCAGCAUUUCUUCUACCAGCCGGACACCUCUCAUCCACUGUAACACUGCAUUCCUCUAGAGCAUCCCACAUGCUCUCGGAAACUGGACUGUAACUGUGGAUGGUAGCAGUGUCCCAUAGUCUUCUGAUGGUAUUUCAGGAGGUUCUUCAUUCGCAUCUUUGGUUACCUGAGUGUCUUCUGACAUCUCUCAUGUUUCCACUAGGCCGCUGCUAUGAUGCUCAACAGGGAACCUGAAGCACACUGGGAUUCAGGAGCAGACCAACUACCACUUGGCUCCCACAAAUGGUCGCCUUGGAACUCUUUAUGGAAGAGGAGAAAACACCCACCACCACCGUUUCAUAACCCUGCACCGAAUGUGGAGACAACAAUCACCCACCCCCAAAGGAAACUCUAGCAGGGUACAUGUAUCAAACCUAAGGUGUUGGUUAUGUAUUUUGGAUCAAUAAGUGAGGUUGUACUUUUGACUGGUAAGUGUACAUCUAAAUCCCUCAGAGGGGAUGUUCUCUGAGGUCACCCCAACCUAAAUUGUUGGCCCAUGGGGAGAUGUGUUGUCCCUACUGAUUGUAUUGAUGUUGUCUCUGUAGGCCAGUGAAUUAAAGCUCCAUAGGGUCUUGUCCUGUUCUUGCCUCUUCACGGGAAGGUCCAUUUCACCUAUUGAAAAAGACAGCAAGGGAGUAGUGUUGGCACUAUUAAAUCUGACGUUUCAUGAAUGAGUCUUUUCACUUUCAUGGCUGAAGAAGCAGCAUCUCUUAUGAUGAGGGUUAGGGUUUGGAUUAUCCUGAGGAUUAGGGUAAGGGUUAAGUCAUGCUUGCACCCCCGUUUUGACAAGGGAGGAAGGUCACACCUGACCCCCGCCACCCUCCUUGUGGAAGGGUGUUCAGGCAUGCAGCCUGCCUCCCCUCCACAAGGGAGUAGUGAUGCCACUACUUAAUGUGUUGUUUCAUGAAUGGCUCUUUUCCCUUUCACAGCUGAAGAAGCAGGCAUUUCUUAAGGUAAGUGUUAUGGUUAGGAUUGCCGUUCAUGGUUAGGGUAAGGGAUAGGCCAUGCCUGCACCCUCCCUUGGAGUGGGAGGGCGUUCACACAUGAGCCACGCACCCCCUCAUCUCGGGAGGGUGUUCACCAAUAGGAACCAGUCCCCUUCAGCGGGGGGAUGUUGAUGUAUGCGCCUGCACCCAUCUCGUGUGCGAGGGUGUUCAUGCAUGGACACCACAACCCUUGGCGAGGGAGGGCAUUUGUCCAUGCACCAUGCCCUCCUUGCCUCAGGAGGUGUUCACGCAUGAGCACAGUGCCCCCUUGGCUUGAGAAGGUGUUCAGGUAGGUGCAUGAACCUGCCCCCCAGCGUGGGAGGGGGUUCACGCAUGUGCCCUCCCCCCUCAGGCGCUGGAGGGGUCACAUGUGCACAGCACCACUAGUCAGCAAGGGAGUAGUGGUGCCACUAUUAAAUCUGACGUUUCAUGGACGGCUGUUUUCACUUUCACAGCUGAAGAAGCAUGCAUCUCUUAAGGUCAGGGGUAGGGUUAGCAUUACAUUUAGGGGUUAAGAUAAGAGCUAGGUCAUGCUUGCUCUCCCCCCUCAGCACGGGAAGACUUCACGCAUCACCCCACUAUCCUGAGCAAGGGAGAGUGUUCACCUUUUCACCCCAAUCCCUGAGAGUGGUAAAAUAUUGAAGCACGUGCUCCACUCCACUUCCUUUGGGGAGGGCUUUCACACAUGCGUAGAUCCCCCCUUCAGGACAGAUUGUUCACAUAUGUGCAUGACCACCUGUCGGGUCGGGAGGGUGUUCACUCAUGGGCACACCCCACCUCUGCAUGGGAGAUGGUUCAUGCAUGUGUCUUGCUCACCUCUGCAGGGAGGGUUUUUACGCAUGUGCACAGCCCCACCUUGGUGUGGGAGGAGGUCACCCAUGCAGAGCGCCACCCUUCAAUGAGGAUAUAGUGAUGCCAUUAUUAAAUGUGAUGUUUCAUGAAUGGUUCUUUUCAAUUUCACAGCUGAAUUAGCAGACAACUCUUAAGCUGAAGAAGCAUGCAUCACUUAAGCUGAAGAAACGCGGCCAGGGAGGGCGUUGAUGUAUGCUCCUCGCUCCCCUCGCCAGGAUGCUGUUCACGCAUGUGCAAAGUCCCCCCUCCUUGCCAAAGGGGGUUCAAGCAUGCCCACAACCCCCGCUCUGUGAGGCAGACCAUUUGUACAGGCACACAACCCUCCCUCAGCAAGGGACAGUGUUCAUGCUUGGCCCCACUCACUUCGGUGGGAAGGGUGUUCACACAUGCACAUAACCCCCCUCAGCAUUGGAGGGCGUUCAAAAAUGUGCCCCACCCCACUUGACGCCAGAGGUGGUUCAGGAUUCUGCCUUGCCCCUGGUUGGUGUGUGAGAUGGUCACCCAUGCACAGUGCCACCUUUUAGGGAGAGAGUAGUGGUGUCACUAUUAAAUGUGAUAUUUCACGAAUGGUUCUUUCACUUUCACAGCUGAAGAAACACACAUCUCUUAAGGCUUGCAUCUUCCCUCUACCUCUAUACUCCAAGUUCCUGGCUGGCACUGGAAUUACAUCUUUAGCAUGGACAUCAUAACCUCCAGGUGAGAAUUCUCAGAAUGAGAAAUAGGACAGGAAAGACCUAUUGAAGCUUCUCUGAUGAGUCACUGGAUUUGCAUGCGUGGAGGAUAGAUUUGAGACUCAAAUGAACAACCUACCUUUAACUUCUAAGAACUAGAAGAAAAAAACAAUCUAUGCCCAAUGUUCUCAAAAGGGAGAAAUUAAUCCAUAUGAGAGUGGGAACCAAUGAAACAGACCAUGAAAUCAAUAGAAAACAUGAAGAAGACCAACAGUGGGUUUUCAGAAGAGUGAAACAAAAUUGUCAGCGCUAUACAUAGACUAUGCUAAGACAUAAAGAGGACCAAAUUCAAAAGAAUUACACAUAAAAGAGAAGAUACUAUGCCUUAUACCAAAGAAACAUAAAGCAGACAAAGUGGCAACUAUGGCCAAAUUAGAUUACAUAAAAGUACCUACCUAGAAGAAAUGGAUAGGUUCUUAGAAACACACAACCUACCAAGAUUGUAUCAGGAAGAUAUAGAAGGUUUGCACAGACCCAUUAAAGGAAGACUGUAUCAAUACAAAAAGAUAACCAAUGUAAGUAAAUUGAAUCAGUAAUCGAAGUUCUGCCAAGGAAGAAAACCCCAGGACCAGGUGGAUUCAUUGGUGAAUUUAACCAAACGUUUGUAGAAGAACUAACAGCAGUCCUCUCACUGAUUCAAAAGGAAUGAACACCACCAAACUCAUUUCAUGAGACUGGAAUUACCCUGGUAAGAAGCCAGAAAGGAUACUACCUGAACAGAAAUCUAUAGGCCAGUAUCCUCGUGAUGAAUAUAGAUGAAUAAUUCCCAGUAACAUGCAGGCAAACCAAAUUCAGGAUCACAUGAAAAGAAUCAUUGACCGUGAUGAAGGGUUUUUUUCCUGUAAAGGCAGGAUGUUUCAGAAAUGCAAAUCAAUAAAUGUGAUCCCUCACAAAAUUGAAUGAAAUAAAAACCAACCAGAAACCAGACUCUUAACUAUAAAUAGCAAAUGGAGGGUUACUAUAAGUGAGGUGGGCAGGGGCAUGGGUUAAAUGGGUGAUGGGCUAUGGAGGGCGCUAGCAGUGAGGAUCACUGGGUGUUGUAUGUAAG